GCGCGCGUGGUGAAAUUGGUAUACACGUAGCCUUGAGGUGGCUAUGCCCUAACGGGUGUGGAGGUUCAAGUCCUCUCGCGCGCACCA
rnacentral:tRNA from 1 species